GUGUGGUUCCUCUCAGUGGGGCCUGGCAGUUUGUCCUUGGCAGGCCAUUUCUGCCACCCAGAAAGAAGCACAGCUCUGGGUACCAGAGGAACUCCUGAUCUCCUAAGGCAGUUUCCAAAAGUGGUAGAAGACUUGAUCGUCUUGAUGAAAACAGCAUGGAGAAUGUCUUCAUCAACUUAUUUUCUUCAAGAAAACAGAGCACGAUGGUCAUGGAGGCACAAUGUGCUGGCAUCGCCCUGUAACCAAGAAGAGGGCGGUGACAUCUGAUAGGGUCUCCCUUGUUCAGGUUACUUCCCAUUAGGCCCCAAGACGUUCACUUUCAUUUCUCAGCUGCUCCUCAUAGCAGGAAGAAAUCACUUCCCCCAGAGGCUCUGCUUUGUUUUGAUUUCCUACCUUGAGAGAGGAACAGGAAUCCUCCCCCCGCCCCAUAAAGAGAUACACAGAAGGUGUCUUCUUUUCUGCCCACUUCUACCUACUCAGAAGCUGGAGAGAGGACAUCCCUGUUUUCCACGGGUGUGCAAACCCAAGCUGCUCAUCUGGGUCAUCAGACAGAGCCUCAGCCUCACCUACAACAGCUUGCCUUGAAGGGACACAAAGUGUCCAGAGAUAAAUUACAAUUUUGUCUCCCCCAAGUUAAAUACUUAGGGCACACAAUUUCCCCAAAGGGACUUCUUAUAAACCCAGAAAGAAUCUCUGCCAUCAUGGCCUUUCCUUUGCCCAAAACAAAAAAACAAUUAAGAGGGUUCUUAGGGCUAACAGGCUACUGCAGAAGUUGGAUUCCAAACUACUCAUUAAUGGCCCAGCCCUUAUACAAAAACUAAAGCAUCACCAACCAGACCCAAUUUGCUGGGGGGAAAGGGAAAAGCAACACACAGGAUUUUAAUCAAGCUCUUACCCAGGGAUCUGCUUUAGGACACCCCAAUUGUAGCCUCCUUUUUUCCUUUUUAUACAUAAAAUAAAUGGAAAUGCGCUUGGAGUAUUAACUCAAAAGCAUGGCGACAGUCACAGGCCAGUUGGUUAUUUCAGCCAACAGUUAGACCCAGUAGCAAAAGGACACCCCCCUUGUAUGAGAGCCAUAUCAGCUGCAGCCAUUUUAUGUAAAAAAAUUGAGGAAUUUGUCCUGGGGUCCCCACUAAUAAUUUAUGCCCCUCAUUCUGUGGAAUCUCUCCUAAACUCUCACCACACUCAACACUAUUCUGUAAGUCGCCUUGCCUCCUAUAAAGUGCUUUUGCUUUCUGCCCCUAACAUCACUUUAAAGCACUGCAAUAUUCUUAACCCUGCAACUCUUCUCCCUCUUCCAGGUGAGCAAGAAGAAAAACAUGACUGCAGUCUACUAACUGAUAUCUUACUCUCUCCUAGAGCAGAUUUGCAAAAAACACCUAUCAAAAAUGCUAAAUUAAUUUGGUUUACAAAUGGUUCUUAUUUAAAGGACCAUCAGGGACAUUAUCAGGCGGGAUAUGCUGUCACUUCCACAGUAGACAUAAUAGAAAGCGCCCAACUCAAAGGAGUAAAAUCAGCCCAAAUGGCUGAAUUAAUAGCAUUAACUUGCCGGAGCCAGCCGGCGACGUGCGGCACCUGGAGUUAGGGGGCAAGGCUGAGAAAUGAAGAGACAACAAAAAGAUGAGGACGG